rnacentral:rRNA from 1 species
UACGUAGGGUGCGAGCGUUGUCCGGAAUUAUUGGGCGUAAAGAGCUUGUGGGCGGUCUGUCGCGUCUGCUGUGAAAAUCCGGGGCUCAACCCCGGACUUGCAGUGGGUACGGGCAGACUAGAGUGUGGUAGGGGAGACUGGAAUUCCUGGUGUAGCGGUGAAAUGCGCAGAUAUCAGGAGGAACACCGAUGGCGAAGGCAGGUCUCUGGGCCACUACUGACGCUGAGAAGCGAAAGCAUGGGGAGCGAACAGG